AUGCUCCCUUCAUUCGGCCUCAACCACCGGAGCCACGUCGCCUCCCCGCCAUGGCGCCCGCGCCUCCAGCAGUGCUGCGCCAACAGCGUCGCGGGUGACCCCCUUCCUCUCCCGUUGUGCCGUCGUUCUGGCCAGCGAGCCCAUCUCCUCCUCGAGCUGCUCCGCCGCUGCUGUGCUCUCAGCCUCCGGCAGCCGCUGCUGCGGUUCGGCGCCCCUGCUUCUCCUUCGUCACCGGCGAGCCACGCCGUCCUCCACGAGCAGCCGAGGGCCAGUACAUCUCCGCCGCGUCCUCCUUCUCAUCUGUGUUCGCCCCGUCGCAAGGGAGCGCGGGCCCAUGUGCCCUUCCAUGUCGUCACAGCCUCGCGGGAGCCACCGCUGCUGACGUCCAGUGGGACGCCCUGUCGCAGGACCUCGCCGUCCACCUCCUUUGCUUCGUCGUCGCUGCUAGGGCCGCCCCAUCUCUUGAUCUGGAGAGGAUCCGGCAGGCACAGCUCACCCCAACCACCGUGCCCUGCAUCCCGCAGCUGGCCGCCUCCAGCCCCCGUUCGCGACCGCACCAAGUCCAGCAAGGCGUCGCCCGUACACGUUGAAUGCGCUGAGUCCAUGCAUCGCGCCCCAGUUGCUGUUAACGCCAAGUCCAAGGGUCACCGAACAGGGAAUGACGCCAAGUACCAGGUCAAUGAGGACCGUCAAGUUCGUCUUCCGCCGUCUCCGAAAUCGACAAGUGCUACACGGAAACGCCAAGUACCCCUACGCGCGAAGACGCCAAGACCGUUUCGGGAUUCACCAAGUAUCGCUACCGAUGGCUCGAACAUCUACGAAAACGUGUAUGACCGUCGUCGAAACUGUAAAGUACCUCUACGCACGGAUAUCGCCAAGUACCACGAUACUGAUGACAUCCAUUACUACUAG
rnacentral:rRNA from 1 species